GGCCAGGUGGCAGAAUGGUAACGCGCGCGAGACGAAUACAAAUGUUUCCUCGCAAGAUCUCCGUUCAAUUCGGGGUCUGGCCU